rnacentral:rRNA from 1 species
AGCUCUACCUUAGUUUUCUUAUUACACCAAACAAAAUACUAGACUUAAGAGCUAUUCAAAUAAGGUACAGCUUAUUUGAAAAAGGCUACAACCUACAAUACUGGGUUAAUAUUGAUUUUAUCAACAAAGUGGGCCUAAGAGCAGCCAUCUUAUAGAAAGCGUUAAAGCUCAACUAUCUCCUCUCCUAAAUUCCAAAAAUUAUCUUCAACCCUUCAUUAUUACUGAACUAUUUUAUAUAUUUAUAAAAGUUAUCAUGCUAGAACUAGUAACAAGAAUUAGCCCUUCUCCAAAAUGUAUACUUAAGCCAAAAUGGACACCCCAUUGGCAGUUACCGCAAAUGCACCUAUUAUAGUACCUCCCAACUAGACAACUCUAUAACUCUUAGCGUUAACCUGACACCAGAGCAUUACAGGAAAGAUUAAAAGAGAAAGAAGGAACUCGGCAAAUCUCGGUCCCGCCUGUUUACCAAAAACAUCGCCUCUUGACCAAAUAUAAGAGGUCCAGCCUGCCCACUGACAUAGUUUAACGGCCGCGGUACCCUAACCGUGCGAAGGUAGCAUAAUCACUUGUUCUUUAAAUAAGGACUCGUAUCAACGGCAUCACGAGGACUAUACUGUCUCCUUUCUCCAAUCAGUGAAACUGAUCUCCCCGUGAAGAAGCGGGGAUUAACCUAUAAGACGAGAAGACCCCAUGGAGCUUAAAGCCCACAAACACCUCUACGCACUUAAACCAAUUUAGCCCAAGAGACCUGUAAGCCGGCUUUAGGUUGGGGGGACCGCGGAGAAAAACCUAACCUCCACGACAAACGGGCAAACGCCCUUAUCCAUGAAUUACAAUUCUAAGAAUCAAUAAACUGAUGUUUAAUGACCCGAUUAUUCGAUCAACGAACCAAGUUACCCUGGGGAUAACAGCGCAAUCUACUUUAAGAGCUCAUAUCGACAAGUAGGUUUACGACCUCGAUGUUGGAUCAGGGUAUCCCAGUGGUGUAGCCGCUACUAAAGGUUCGUUUGUUCAACGAUUAAAACCCUACGUGAU